rnacentral:lncRNA from 1 species
UAAAUCUAUACGGAGCAUACCGUGCGAGUCCCACUUACAAGUCAAGAGGACAUGGGAGUCCCGCCAGUUAUACAUGGCACACUCAGCAAACAAUAUGAGACCCAGCGAUGUUGCCACAACGCUGGGUCUCGUAUUGUUUGCCGAAUCUUUUAGGUACUCCCCGGUUUUUAUAUUUCAACUCGAAUUUAACAGUUUUGUUUCAGCGGUUGCUAUUUUAAUUCUUGUGAAUAGUAAGGGCGGACGUAAAAUAGUGAUUUUAGGCGCAAGGAUAAAUAUUAGGUACCUAUGGAAAAUAGAUCGAAAAAAUUUUUGGAACGCGUUGGACGAAAAUAAUAAAAAAAAAGAUUAUUCAAAUGCAAAUAAGAUGGGAAAAUCUUAUUUUGGGCCGCCUAGCAAAACGAAACAAAAUGCGAAAAAAAAACUGAGCUUUUAGAGCCCAAUGUAAAGAUCUUAUCGAACGUUAACCUUAAAGAAAAAAUUGGUAACUACUUGCAAACUAUAACAACUCACUUUUUUUUUAAUGUCAAGAAAAUAAAAUAGAUGAAUCAACAUUAUCUGAAAGUAAAAAUAACGUAGAGACUCCAUUUAAUAAAUAUGAUAAAGAAAAAAAACAGGACCAUUUAAAUCCCAAAGCAAAUAUUUUACUGGAACCAGAUGUUAAACUUAAUGAUAAUAUUGAUAACGACUCACAACCUUUAAACAAAACCUUGGA